rnacentral:rRNA from 1 species
UACAGAGGUCUCAAGCGUUGUUCGGAUUCAUUGGGCGUAAAGGGUGCGUAGGUGGCGUGGUAAGUCGGGUGUGAAAUUUCGGAGCUUAACUCCGAAACUGCAUUCGAUACUGCCGUGCUUGAGGACUGGAGAGGAGACUGGAAUUUACGGUGUAGCGGUGAAAUGCGCAGAUAUCAGGAGGAGCACCGGUGGCGAAGGCGGGUCUCUGGGCCGUAACUGACGCUGAGGAGCGAAAGCGUGGGGAGCGAACAGG